rnacentral:lncRNA from 1 species
UAUAUAUAUAUAUAUAUAUGUAGAGCUAGGUUGGUAUACUAUCGAUAGCACGGAGGCCUCCGUGCUACCAAGUUGUUUUCAAUGAUACGGCUUCCAAAUCGACGAUCGGCUCCGUUAGACUUGAUCUACACUAUUAAAAGUAUUUGAAAAUUAAAUUUCAUAAUUUUUUGACAUCAUUUGGCUAGUGAUCAAAAGGUCUCAAAAUUGACAAUUUUAAUGGUAGAUGUGAUGCGUUUGUAAAUUUAACGGUGUAAAACAAUUCAAAUCUCAUGAAAUUUUUAUAGAAAAUUCUUUUCACUAUUUAGAGUAAGAUCAGUACCUCUGAUCUUAAAUUCAAGUCUUUUAUCAUCAUUGUUUAUGAGAUUUUUAUUUUCAACCGUUCAUUUUUACACUACUCAUUUGAUAGGUAAAUAAUGCCGAAAAAUUAUGAAAUUUAGUUUCUAAAUACUUUCAAUAGUGUAGAUUAAGUUUAACAAAGUCGAUCGUCGAUUUGGAAAUCGCAUCAUUGAAAAUAACUUGGUAGCACAGAGGCCUCCGUGCUAUCGAUAGUGUAUCAGCCUAGCUCU